AGCGAACGCUGGCGGCAGGCUUAACACAUGCAAGUCGAACGGGCUUCUUCGGAAGUCAGUGGCAGACGGGUGAGUAACACGUGGGAACGUGCCCUUCGGUUCGGAAUAGCUCAGGGUAACUUGAGCUAAUACCGGAUACGCCCUUUUGGGGAAAGGUUUACUGCCGAAGGAUCGGCCCGCGUCUGAUUAGCUUGUUGGGGGGGUAACGGCCUACCAAGGCGACGAUCAGUAGCUGGUCUGAGAGGAUGAUCAGCCACACUGGGGGUGAGACACGGCCCGGACUCUUACGGGAGGCGGAAGUGGGGAAUAGUGGACCGUGGGCGCAAGCAUGAUCCAGCCCUGCCGCGUGAGUGAUGAAGGUCUUAGGGUUGUUAUGCUCUUUUGUCCGGGACGAUAAUGACGGUACCGGAAGAAUAAGCCCCGGCUAACUUCGUG
rnacentral:rRNA from 1 species